rnacentral:rRNA from 1 species
GACGAACGCUGGCGGCGUGCUUAACACAUGCAAGUCGAACGGAAAGGCCCUGCUUUUGUGGGGUGCUCGAGUGGCGAACGGGUGAGUAACACGUGAGUAACCUGCCCUUGACUUUGGGAUAACUUCAGGAAACUGGGGCUAAUACCGGAUAGGAGCUCCUGCUGCAUGGUGGGGGUUGGAAAGUUUCGGCGGUUGGGGAUGGACUCGCGGCUUAUCAGCUUGUUGGUGGGGUAGUGGCUUACCAAGGCUUUGACGGGGAGCCGGCCUGAGAGGGUGACCGGCCACAUUGGGACUGAGAUACGGCCCAGACUCCUUCGGGAGGCAGCAGUGGGGGAUAGUGCACGAUGGGCGGAGGCCUGAUGCAGCAACGCCGCGUGCGGGAUGACGGCCUUCGGGUUGGAAACCGCUUUCGCCUGUGACGAAGCGUGAGUGACGGUAAUGGGUAAGGAAGCACCGGCUAACUACGUG